AGGCAUCAAUAUACCAGUCAAAAGCUCAAACCUCAAAGCAGGCCAAGGCGCAGCAGGAAGUGUCAAGUCAUAGGGCAGUACACUCAAGCGCGCCAUUACCUCGCAAACCAGAGGAACAACCCAAACCUCUUUUCCGAAAACCCGUACAGGAAGAAAGUACGGGAGACACAGAAGAAGGAGGUGAGGUCCCAAACUGGCUGGUAGGCAUGGAUGCUUUGCACAAAUCGCUGAUGGUAAAACCAGCACCUCUGAAGUUCAGGCUACCCAGGCUCCAGGUUUAUGAUGGGAAAAUGGACCCAGCGGACCACAUAAAUAUGUUCGUAG
rnacentral:lncRNA from 1 species